UGAAAAAAGAGAUGUGAAAGGCGGCUUUAAAAUGUUUUUAAUUGCUUUUUUAUCUUAUAAAUUUUUUUUCAUAGGGCUUUUUUCAAUAUCAAGGACAUUUCCUCGUUUGAAUUUCUCCGGUACAACAAACCUCCCUGAUCGGCAGAUUGUGCAGCGACUGAUCUGAACUUUUCACUCUGCGGAGGGGCUUGAGAGUACUUGCAUUUUUUAUGGAGGUUCCUAUGGAGAUAGACAAAGGGAGCCAUGGGCCUGCUUCUACAAACGCUCUACUGCAGUGGAGCCAGUGGCAACUGCUUGAUUCCAUUCUCCCUACUGGUGGCUUUGCCCAUUCUUGUGGUCUUGAGGCAGCAUUUCAGGCCCACAUGAUCUCUGGGCCUGAAGAUCUUCAAACUUAUGUACUUCAUGUGUUGGAGAACACGGGGAGCUUAUUACUUCCAUUUGUGUAUUCAGCAAACAUGUCUCCAAACUUAGAAACAUGGCAUAAACUUGACAGAAUGUUGGAUGCAACACUUACAAAUGAAGUGGGUCGAAAGGCCUCAAUUGCUCAAGGAUCAGCACUUAUGAGGGUAGCUGCAACUGUGUUUUCAGAAGUGCCAUCUCUUAAAAUGAUGAGAAGUAACUCUCUGGGCUCUGGGACUGUUGCUUUCCAUCAUGCUCCUAUUUUUGGGCUUGUAUGUGGACUUCUUGGCUUGGAUGUUGGAAUCUCUCAGAGGGCUUAUAUGUUUAUAACGAUGAGAGAUGUUAUUUCUGCUGCAACAAGGCUGAACUUAAUUGGACCCCUUGGUGCAGCUAAAUUACAGCAUGAUAUUGCUAUUGCUGCUGAAGAAAUGUCAAAGAAAUGGAUGAACCGUAAAUUUGAGGAAGCAUGCCAAACAGCUCCUUUGCUUGACACAGUACAAGGUUGCCAUGCUUACUUGUUUUCUAGGCUGUUCUGCUCUUGAAUGUCAAUCUUUGUUCUUCUAUGCUGAUGCUGAAGUCUUCCUAGGCCAGAAGCUAGUUGAUUGUUUUUGAAGCUCUGAGUGAAUGGCAUUGUGGUUGUCAAUCAAAAACAAAUUUUUUUGUUUCAUUUUCCAGCUUGAGGAGCUGAUGACCAUAAAGAGUGGCAUUAUGCUUGAAGCAUGUGUUUUCAUCCUCUAUUUGCAGGAUGCAUUUGAAGAAGAUGGAUUGAUUUGUGUCUGAAUGUUCUCUAGAGGUGCCAGCACUUGCCCAGAGCAUGCUUGGUUCUUUUCUGCAUAUUUUUUUUGUUCAUGGAAGAAGUUGAUCAGCUCUGGAUUCUUAAGCCGAAUGAGCUUCAUCCUGUGUAUUUGAACCGGUGGUAGGUUUUUGUAUUUGCCAUGAUGUUGAAAUGUGGUAUGAAUGAGAUGGCCCCAAGUGUUCUGCAUCUUCAAUUGAAAA